AGAGUUUGAUCCUGGCUCAGAACGAACGCUGGCGGCAGGCCUAACACAUGCAAGUCGAGCGCGCCUUCGGGUGAGCGGCGGACGGGUUAGUAACGCGUGGGAACGUGCCCUUCUCUACGGAAUAGCCUCUGGAAACGGAGAGUAAUACCGUAUACGCCCUUUGGGGGAAAGAUUUAUCGGAGAAGGAUCGGCCCGCGUUAGAUUAGGUAGUUGGUGGGGUAACGGCCUACCAAGCCUACGAUCUAUAGCUGGUUUUAGAGGAUGAUCAGCAACACUGGGACUGAGACACGGCCCAGACUCCUACGGGAGGCAGCAGUGGGGAAUCUUAGACAAUGGGGGCAACCCUGAUCUAGCCAUGCCGCGUGAGUGAUGAAGGCCUUAGGGUCGUAAAGCUCUUUCGCCUGUGAUGAUAAUGACAGUAGCAGGUAAAGAAACCCCGGCUAACUCCGUGCCAGCAGCCGCGGUAAUACGGAGGGGGUUAGCGUUGUUCGGAAUUACUGGGCGUAAAGCGCGCGUAGGCGGAUUAGAAAGUUGGGGGUGAAAUCCCGGGGCUCAACCCCGGAACUGCCUCCAAAACUGCUAGUCUAGAGUUCGAGAGAGGUGAGUGGAAUUCCGAGUGUAGAGGUGAAAUUCGUAGAUAUUCGGAGGAACACCAGUGGCGAAGGCGGCUCACUGGCUCGAUACUGACGCUGAGGUGCGAAAGUGUGGGGAGCAAACAGGAUUAGAUACCCUGGUAGUCCACACCGUAAACGAUGAAUGCCAGUCGUCGGGUAGUAUACUAUUCGGUGACACACCUAACGGAUUAAGCAUUCCGCCUGGGGAGUACGGUCGCAGAUUAAACUCAAGGAAUUGACGG
rnacentral:rRNA from 1 species